ACUCAGAAGGUGUUCCAGUACAAUACGAAACAAAAUGGACUCAACUCUUUCACGUUUUCCAGUUUCAUCUGAAAGGAUUCAAAGGAAGGCUAACACUAGCUAAUUUAGGUUAACUUUAAAAAUCACAGUUACCACCACGUCUUCAAAGAUGCUUUGCAGCUGCGUUUCCAUCGACAGCGCCAUGAUGUCCUUAAAAACGAAACACGAAGUAUCUUCUCAGUUCAGCAUCACAUAAAUUAUCGCUGAUCUGAAUGCUAACGCUCAAAGCUAACAACGCAGCAAUGAGCGCAACCGCAAAAA